AGAAUCAACGCUGGCGGCGUGCCUAACACAUGCAAGUCGCACGAGAAAGGGGAGCAAUCCCUGAGUAAAGUGGCGCACGGGUGAGUAACACGUGAAUAAUCUACCUCCGAGUGGGGAAUAACUGAGAGAAAUCUUAGCUAAUACCGCAUAACACUUACGAGUCAAAGCAGCAAUGCGCUUGGAGAGGAGUUCGCGGCCGAUUAGUUAGUUGGCGGGUAAUGGCCACCAAGACGAUGAUCGGUA
rnacentral:rRNA from 1 species